CAGCAAGAGAAGGAAAGGCAAUUGUACCCCACUGCAGCUGCUCACUGCUCCUGCCACAUUCCACAGGGACACCCGGGGAGCCUCAUCCCAGAGGUGUGCAGCUGGAUUCGUCCCAGACCUCACACAUAGCUUGUGUCAGGUUUGGAAGACUUUUGCUGUGCCCAGGAAGCCAGGUGUUCAGUGCAGCGAGCUGGGGAGCCGGCAGGCUGCGGAGUGCUCUCGGGACACCGGCACCAGUGGUACUGGGAAAGCAACCUCUGCUCCGCUGCAUCCACCCAAAGUUGGCUGCAGUCCUUCUGAAAAGCGAUCCCCAGCCGGCUACGCAUCUCGCGCAGUCACCGGUGAGGUGAGCAGCAUCAAAGUUAAC
ensembl:lncRNA